CCCACUUUCUUUUUCUUUGGCUCUUUUUCUUCUUUCUCCGAAGCUGUAAACAACAAUAAAAAAAUAUUCUCUUGUCAAAAAAAAAAAAAAAAACAAU
rnacentral:ribozyme from 13 species